rnacentral:rRNA from 1 species
CUACGGCCUCAAUUCUAGCGGCGGACGGGUGAGUAACGCGUGAGCAACCUACCUUUCACAGGGGAAUAACGCAGCGAAAGUUGUGCUAAUACCGCAUGAGACCACAAGUGGACAUCCACAAGAGGUCAAAGGAGCAAUCCGGUGAAAGAUGGGCUCGUGUCUGAUUAGCUAGUUGGUGAGGUAACUGCUCACCAAGGCGACGAUCAGUAGCCGACCUGAGAGGGUGACCGGCCACACUGGAACUUAGACACGGUCCAGACUCC